GAAUCCCGUUGGUGCAAGAGCGCCGAGCGCAUCGAAUGCGACGCCGGGCUUGCUGAGCUCGUGAGCUCGCCUGUAGUGAGAAUUUGCUCUGUGCCGGGCUUGGGCUAGAAGCUUUACGAACACGAUAGCAUUUGAUUCUCACUGCAUCCCUGUGAGGUCAUCCUUUGAGAAGAUCAAUAAAAUGGAUAAAUCUCUAGCUGGACUGAUCAGGGAGAAAAAAGAAGAGAAGGCAUCAGAAACCAAGCUGCAAAAUGCACACACACAAAAUUUUGUCUUUGCUAUCCAUCUGUGUUGACACAUAUACAUCCAGGAGCAAAGGAGCCUCACGUCUGCCAUUUACUCCAGAUGCUUCAGAAGACAAUGCACAUACACUCACAUCUAUCGAGAGAGGAUACAGCACACGUGGUACAGAAGAGUUGUCCCUUCCCUGGUCCUGGAGGAAAAUUCUGGUGUCCUCAUGGCUCCGCAGGUCAGCUGAGGCAAGAGAAACCCCU